rnacentral:rRNA from 1 species
UACGUAGGUGGCAAGCGUUGUCCGGAAUUAUUGGGCGUAAAGCGCGCGCAGGUGGUUUCUUAAGUCUGAUGUGAAAGCCCCGGGCUUAACCUGGGAAUGGCAUUGGAAACUGGCGGGCUUGAGUGCGGCAGAGGGGGGUGGAAUUCCGCGUGUAGCAGUGAAAUGCGUAGAGAUGCGGAGGAACACCGAUGGCGAAGGCAAUCCCCUGGGCCUGCACUGACGCUCAUGCACGAAAGCGUGGGGAGCAAACAGG